CCGGCGACCGGCGCACGGGUGAGUAACACGUAUGCAACCUGCCCGUGGCAGGGGGAUAAGNGGGGGAAACCCCGUCUAAUACCGCGUAACGCGGCCUAGGGACAUCCCAAGGCCGCCAAAGGGAGCAAUCCCGGCCACGGAUGGCCAUGCGUCGCAUUAGCUAGUCGGCGGGGUAACGGCCCACCGAGGCGACGAUGCGUAGGGGUUCUGAGAGGAAGGUCCCCCACACUGGUACUGAGACACGGACCAGACUCCUACGGGAGGCAGCAG
rnacentral:rRNA from 1 species